rnacentral:rRNA from 1 species
ACUAAGCGUACACGGUGGAUGCCCUGGCAGUCAGAGGCGAUGAAGGACGUGCUAAUCUGCGAUAAGCGUCGGUAAGGUGAUAUGAACCGUUAUAACCGGCGAUUUCCGAAUGGGGAAACCCAGUGUGUUUCGACACACUAUCAUUAACUGAAUCCAUAGGUUAAUGAGGCGAACCGGGGGAACUGAAACAUCUAAGUACCCCGAGGAAAAGAAAUCAACCGAGAUUCCCCCAGUAGCGGCGAGCGAACGGGGAGCAGCCCAGAGCCUGAAUCAGUGUGUGUGUUAGUGGAAGCGUCUGGAAAGGCGCGCGAUACAGGGUGACAGCCCCGUACACAAAAAUGCACAUGCUGUGAGCUCGAUGAGUAGGGCGGGACACGUGGUAUCCUGUCUGAAUAUGGGGGGACCAUCCUCCAAGGCUAAAUACUCCUGACUGACCGAUAGUGAACCAGUACCGUGAGGGAAAGGCGAAAAGAACCCCGGCGAGGGGAGUGAAAAAGAACCUGAAACCGUGUACGUACAAGCAGUGGGAGCACGCUUAGGCGUGUGACUGCGUACCUUUUGUAUAAUGGGUCAGCGACUUAUAUUCUGUAGCAAGGUUAACCGAAUAGGGGAGCCGAAGGGAAACCGAGUCUUAACUGGGCGUUAAGUUGCAGGGUAUAGACCCGAAACCCGGUGAUCUAGCCAUGGGCAGGUUGAAGGUUGGGUAACACUAACUGGAGGACCGAACCGACUAAUGUUGAAAAAUUAGCGGAUGACUUGUGGCUGGGGGUGAAAGGCCAAUCAAACCGGGAGAUAGCUGGUUCUCCCCGAAAGCUAUUUAGGUAGCGCCUCGUGAAUUCAUCUCCGGGGGUAGAGCACUGUUUCGGCAAGGGGGUCAUCCCGACUUACCAACCCGAUGCAAACUGCGAAUACCGGAGAAUGUUAUCACGGGAGACACACGGCGGGUGCUAACGUCCGUCGUGAAGAGGGAAACAACCCAGACCGCCAGCUAAGGUCCCAAAGUCAUGGUUAAGUGGGAAACGAUGUGGGAAGGCCCAGACAGCCAGGAUGUUGGCUUAGAAGCAGCCAUCAUUUAAAGAAAGCGUAAUAGCUCACUGGUCGAGUCGGCCUGCGCGGAAGAUGUAACGGGGCUAAACCAUGCACCGAAGCUGCGGCAGCGACACUAUGUGUUGUUGGGUAGGGGAGCGUUCUGUAAGCCUGUGAAGGUGUGCUGUGAGGCAUGCUGGAGGUAUCAGAAGUGCGAAUGCUGACAUAAGUAACGAUAAAGCGGGUGAAAAGCCCGCUCGCCGGAAGACCAAGGGUUCCUGUCCAACGUUAAUCGGGGCAGGGUGAGUCGACCCCUAAGGCGAGGCCGAAAGGCGUAGUCGAUGGGAAACAGGUUAAUAUUCCUGUACUUGGUGUUACUGCGAAGGGGGGACGGAGAAGGCUAUGUUGGCCGGGCGACGGUUGUCCCGGUUUAAGCGUGUAGGCUGGUUUUCCAGGCAAAUCCGGAAAAUCAAGGCUGAGGCGUGAUGACGAGGCACUACGGUGCUGAAGCAACAAAUGCCCUGCUUCCAGGAAAAGCCUCUAAGCAUCAGGUAACAUCAAAUCGUACCCCAAACCGACACAGGUGGUCAGGUAGAGAAUACCAAGGCGCUUGAGAGAACUCGGGUGAAGGAACUAGGCAAAAUGGUGCCGUAACUUCGGGAGAAGGCACGCUGAUAUGUAGGUGAGGUCCCUCGCGGAUGGAGCUGAAAUCAGUCGAAGAUACCAGCUGGCUGCAACUGUUUAUUAAAAACACAGCACUGUGCAAACACGAAAGUGGACGUAUACGGUGUGACGCCUGCCCGGUGCCGGAAGGUUAAUUGAUGGGGUCAGCGCAAGCGAAGCUCUUGAUCGAAGCCCCGGUAAACGGCGGCCGUAACUAUAACGGUCCUAAGGUAGCGAAAUUCCUUGUCGGGUAAGUUCCGACCUGCACGAAUGGCGUAAUGAUGGCCAGGCUGUCUCCACCCGAGACUCAGUGAAAUUGAACUCGCUGUGAAGAUGCAGUGUACCCGCGGCAAGACGGAAAGACCCCGUGAACCUUUACUAUAGCUUGACACUGAACAUUGAGCCUUGAUGUGUAGGAUAGGUGGGAGGCUUAGAAGUGUGGACGCCAGUCUGCAUGGAGCCGACCUUGAAAUACCACCCUUUAAUGUUUGAUGUUCUAACGUUGACCCGUAAUCCGGGUUGCGGACAGUGUCUGGUGGGUAGUUUGACUGGGGCGGUCUCCUCCUAAAGAGUAACGGAGGAGCACGAAGGUUGGCUAAUCCUGGUCGGACAUCAGGAGGUUAGUGCAAUGGCAUAAGCCAGCUUGACUGCGAGCGUGACGGCGCGAGCAGGUGCGAAAGCAGGUCAUAGUGAUCCGGUGGUUCUGAAUGGAAGGGCCAUCGCUCAACGGAUAAAAGGUACUCCGGGGAUAACAGGCUGAUACCGCCCAAGAGUUCAUAUCGACGGCGGUGUUUGGCACCUCGAUGUCGGCUCAUCACAUCCUGGGGCUGAAGUAGGUCCCAAGGGUAUGGCUGUUCGCCAUUUAAAGUGGUACGCGAGCUGGGUUUAGAACGUCGUGAGACAGUUCGGUCCCUAUCUGCCGUGGGCGCUGGAGAACUGAGGGGGGCUGCUCCUAGUACGAGAGGACCGGAGUGGACGCAUCACUGGUGUUCGGGUUGUCAUGCCAAUGGCACUGCCCGGUAGCUAAAUGCGGAAGAGAUAAGUGCUGAAAGCAUCUAAGCACGAAACUUGCCCCGAGAUGAGUUCUCCCUGACUCCUUGAGAGUCCUGAAGGAACGUUGAAGACGACGACGUUGAUAGGCCGGGUGUGUAAGCGCAGCGAUGCGUUGAGCUAACCGGUACUAAUGAACCGUGAGGCUUAACC